AUUGAACGCUGGCGGCAGGCCUAACACAUGCAAGUCGGGCGAGCGGCGGACGGGGGAGUAAUGUCUGGGGAACUGCCUGAUGGAGGGGGAUAACUACUGGAAACGGUAGAUAAUACCGCAUACCAUCAGAUGAACCCCUAUGGGAUUAGCUUGUAGGUGGUGUAAUGGCUCACCUAGGCGACGAUCUCUAGCUGGUCUGAGAGGAGCACCAGCAACACUGGGACUGAGACACGGCCCAUACUCCUACGGGAGGCAGAAGUGGGGAAUAUUGCGCAAUGGGUGCAACCCUGACGCAGCCAUGCCGCGGGAAUGAAGAAGGCCUUCGGGUUGUAAAGUUCUUUCGGUAGCGAGGCGUUAACUACAGAAGAAGCACCGGCUAACUCCGUGCCAGCAGCCGCGGUAAUUC
rnacentral:rRNA from 1 species